GUUUUGUUCCCAAAUCAAAACAAAUAAGAUUGGGAAAGAAAUUAGUUGAACAUCUGAGGAUAAAAUGUCAGCUUAAGGUUGUCCAGUGCAGCAGAAACUCCUCACUAUGCUGGAAACCAACACAUCCAAAGGCUGUCCAGAGUCCAGUCCAGCGCAGUGAGAUUGAUAAUAAAGGGGAAAAAAUUCAACGCACUGUACUGCGUUGGCAUCCAAAGGAGCCCUUAGUAUGGAAUGAGAUAUGAUGCUUGAAUUUGUGGUAGGUCUUUGGCAUGUUUAAGUAAGCAUUAUUUGUAUGAGUUUGAGGUGCCUAUGAGUGGCAUUUUGGUUGAAUGUUAGAUGGAUGAUUUAGAAUGUUUUUGGCUUGAUUUUGGUCACUUUAAAUAGGUCUUUUGGUUGGAAAAUGGUUUACUUAGGUUAAAAGUAAGCUUGAAAUGGUAAA